rnacentral:misc_RNA from 1 species
UAAAAGGGAAACACACACACACACACAGUCUUAUUUUAUUUUUGUUUUGCUUUUUUUGGCUUGAUGAGGAACAAUUGGACUCAGCACCUUUUUGGGUAAUCUACUUCACUCAUAGUUCUGGUGUCUAGGGUCCCAAUUGCUGAAAUGUGAACAACCAGGAAACUGUGUUAGCAAAGGUCCUUUGUUUAUUUAUGAGUAUGCUGUUAGAGGAAUUUGUUCAAAAUUUUCAUUUUUCUCUUGUCCUUUGACAGUAAGGAUACUUGUGCUAUUCUCCCUUUAUAAGAGUUCAAAAUUGGAGAUAUAUUUGACUUUUUGUCUAUAUAUUUUCCAGUUUUCUUUCAAGAAUUGUAAGG